GAUGAACGCUGGCGGCGUGCCUAAUACAUGCCAGUCGAGCGAACAGACGAGGAGCUUGCUCCUCUGACGUUAGCGGCGGACGGGUGAGUAACACGUGGAUAACCUACCUAUAAGCCUGGGAUAACUUCGGGAAACCGGAGCUAAUACCGGAUAAUAUAUUGAACCGCAUGGUUCAAUAGUGAAAGACGGUUUUGCUGUCCCUUAUAGAUGGAUCCGCGCCGCAUUAGCUAGUUGGUAAGGUAACGGCUUACCAAGGCGACGAUGCGUAGCCGACCUGAGAGGGUGAUCGGCCACACUGGAACUGAGACACGGUCCAGACUCCUACGGGAGGCAGCAGUAGGGAAUCUUCCGCAAUGGGCGAAAGCCUGACGGAGCAACGCCGCGUGAGUGAUGAAGGUCUUCGGAUCGUAAAACUCUGUUAUUAGGGAAGAACAAAUGUGUAAGUAACUAUGCACGUCUUGACGGUACCUAAUCAGAAAGCCACGGCUAACUACGUG
rnacentral:rRNA from 1 species